GAGGGUAUAUCUCAGUGGUAGAGCACUUGCUUAGCAUGCAGAAAGUCCGAGGUUCAAUCCCCAGUACUUCCA
rnacentral:tRNA from 1 species